UCCCUCUCCCCCUCAGUAAGAGCUCACUUGUGGUGUCUCCUAAUCAGAAGUGCGCAGGUGUUUUCCAGCUCUUCAGCUCUUUCUCUCUCUCUCUCUCUUUCAUUGUCUGAUGAAAUUGCUCUUGUAAUCUCUCCCCACCCCCACACUGCUUGAACCGUAAACACCCGAGACAUUUGUCAUGGAUUUCAAAACCACCUGACCCCCUGUGUGCGAAAGAUGCUAUUUUAAGACGCUGGCAAAAACUUCUGCUGUGGAAAGAUUCACUGUCGGAAAAAAGGUUUAGCAGGACAUGUGUUUUUAGCUGUACUCAUGUUCGACACAUGCGAAUCGGAGAGGGCUUUGGCUGAACGCCCUUCGUGAUGACGUCACACAGCCCAAAUCUGUGGAACAUCUGCGGUGUCAGGACAGAGUGGUCCCUCCCUCCCUCUCUCAUCCCUCCAUCGUCCGUGGACAUCCAGUGCUCGUCCUCCUCUUGCUCCAACAGUGAAAAGGGUCAAGCAGCUUUUCGCAGGGGCCACCUUGUGGUUGGAUGUCACUUACGGCCUAAAAGGGUAAGAAAUUCCCCUGCUUAGUAGUAUAGUAUAUGCACUAUCUGGCCAAAAGUAUGUGGACACCUGACUAUCACAGCCAGACGUGCUUGCUGAACCUCCCUUUCCAAAAACCAUGCACAUUAAUACCGAGUUGGUCCCCUUCAUUGCUGCUAUAACAGCCUCUACUCUUCUGGGAAGGCUUUCCACUAGGUUUUGGAGCAUGGCUUUGUGCUCAUUCAGUCAAAAGAGCAUUAGUGAGGUCAGACACUGAUGUCUGGCAAGAAGGCCUGGGCUGCAGUCUGCAUACUAUUUCAUCC